rnacentral:rRNA from 1 species
ACGGGUGAGUAAUACAUCGGAACGUAUCCUGGAGUGGGGGAUAGCCCGGCGAAAGCCGGAUUAAUACCGCAUACGCUCUGAGGAGGAAAGCGGGGGACCUUCGGGCCUCGCGCUCAAGGGGCGGCCGAUGGCGGAUUAGGUAGUUGGUGGGGUAAAGGCCUACCAAGCCGACGAUCCGUAGCUGGUCUGAGAGGACGACCAGCCACACUGGGACUGAGACACGGCCCAGACUCCUACGGGAGGCAGCAGUGGGGAAUUUUGGACAAUGGGGGCAACCCUGAUCCAGCAAUGCCGCGUGUGUGAAGAAGGCCUUCGGGUUGUAAAGCACUUUUGUCCGGAAAGAAAUCAUCGGGGCCAAUACCCCUGGUGGAUGACGGUACCGGAAGAAUAAGCACUGGCUAACUACGUGCCAGCAGCCGCGGUAAUACGUAGGGUGCGAGCGUUAAUCGGAAUUACUGGGCGUAAAGCGUGCGCAGGCGGUGCUGUAAGACCGAUGUGAAAUCCCCGGGCUUAACCUGGGAACCGCAUUGGUGACUGCAGCGCUGGAGUAUGGCAGAGGGGGGUGGAAUUCCACGU